rnacentral:rRNA from 1 species
CAGUUCGGAUUGCAGCCUGCAACUCGGCUGCAUGAAGCUGGAAUCGCUAGUAAUCGCAGAUCAGAAUGCUGCGGUGAAUACGUUCCCGGGUCUUGUACACACCGCCCGUCACACCAUGGGAGUUGGAAAUGCCCGAAGUCAGUGACCGAACCGAAAGGAAGGAGCUGCCGAAGGUGGAGCCGAUGACUGGGGUGAAGUCGUAACAAGGUAGC